rnacentral:rRNA from 1 species
GAUGAACGCUGGCGGCGUGCCUAAUACAUGCAAGUCGAGCGAACAGAUAAGGAGCUUGCUCCUUUGACGUUAGCGGCGGACGGGUGAGUAACACGUGGAUAACCUACCUAUAAGACUGGGAUAACUUCGGGAAACCGGAGCUAAUACCGGAUAACAUAUUGAACCGCAUGGUUCAAUAGUGAAAGGCGGCUUUGCUGUCACUUAUAGAUGGAUCCGCGCCGGAUUAGCUAGUUGGUAAGGUAACGGCUUACCAAGGCAACGAUACGUAGCCGACCUGAGAGGGUGAUCGGCCACACUGGAACUGAGACACGGUCCAGACUCCUACGGGAGGCAGCAGUAGGGAAUCUUCCGCAAUGGGCGAAAGCCUGACGGAGCAACGCCGCGUGAGUGAUGAAGGUCUUCGGAUCGUAAAACUCUGUUAUCAGGGAAGAACAAAUGUGUAAGUAACUGUGCACAUAUUGACGGUACCUGAUCAGAAAGCCACGGCUAACUACGU